CCACGGGUGGCAGCAGUGGGGAAUCUUCCGCAAUGGACGAAAGUCUGACGGAGCAACGCCGCGUGAGUGAUGACGGCCUUCGGGUUGUAAAGCUCUGUUAAUCGGGACGAAAGGCCUUCUUGCGAAUAGUGAGAAGGAUUGACGGUACCGGAAUAGAAAGCCACGGCUAACUACGUGCCAGCAGCCGCGGUAAUACGUAGGUGGCAAGCGUUGUCCGGAAUUAUUGGGCGUAAAGUGCGCGCAGGCGGAUAGGUCAGUCUGUCUUAAAAGUUCGGGGCUUAACCCCGUGAUGGGAUGGAAACUGCCAAUCUAGAGUAUCGGAGAGGAAAGUGGAAUUCCUAGUGUAGCGGUGAAAUGCGUAGAUAUUAGGAAGAACACCAGUGGCGAAGGCGACUUUCUGGACGAAAACUGACGCUGAGGCGCGAAAGCCAGGGGAGCGAACGGGAUUAGAUACCCCUGUAGUC
rnacentral:rRNA from 1 species